rnacentral:rRNA from 1 species
CCUACGGGUCGCACCAGUAGGGAAUCUUCCGCAAUGGACGAAAGUCUGACGGAGCAACGCCGCGUGAGUGAAGAAGGUCUUCGGAUCGUAAAACUCUGUUAUCAGGGAAGAACAAGUGCCGGAGUAACUGUCGGCACCUUGACGGUACCUGACCAGAAAGCCACGGCUAACUACGUGCCAGCAGCCGCGGUAAUACGUAGGUGGCAAGCGUUGUCCGGAAUUAUUGGGCGUAAAGCGCGCGCAGGCGGUUUCUUAAGUCUGAUGUGAAAGCCCACGGCUCAACCGUGGAGGGUCAUUGGAAACUGGGAGACUUGAGUGCAGAAGAGAAGAGCGGAAUUCCACGUGUAGCGGUGAAAUGCGUAGAGAUGUGGAGGAACACCAGUGGCGAAGGCGGCUCUUUGGUCUGUAACUGACGCUGAGGCGCGAAAGCGUGGGGAGCGAACAGGAUUAGAUACCCCGUGUAGUC